UACGGGGGGGGCAAGCGUUGUUCGGAAUUACUGGGCGUAAAGGGCUCGUAGGUGGCCAACUAAGUCAGACGUGAAAUCCCUCGGCUUAACCGGGGAACUGCGUCUGAUACUGGAUGGCUUGAGAUUGGGAGAGGGAUGCGGAAUUCCAGGUGUAGCGGUGAAAUGCGUAGAUAUCUGGAGGAACGCCGGUGGCGAAGGCGGCAUCCUGGACCAACACUGACACUGAGGAGCGAAAGCCAGGGGAGCAAACGGG
rnacentral:rRNA from 1 species